UCCCUGGUGGCGCAGACGGUAAAGCGUCUGCCUGCAAUGCAGGAGACCUGGGUUCGAUUCCUGGGUUGGGAA
rfam:TPA: Bos taurus chromosome 14, whole genome shotgun sequence.